rnacentral:rRNA from 1 species
CCUACGGGAGGCAGCAGUGGGGAAUAUUGCACAAUGGGCGCAAGCCUGAUGCAGCCAUGCCGCGUGUGUGAAGAAGGCCUUCGGGUUGUAAAGCACUUUCAGCGGGGAGGAAGGCGUUAAGGUUAAUAACCUUGUCGAUUGACGUUACCCGCAGAAGAAGCACCGGCUAACUCCGUGCCAGCAGCCGCGGUAAUACGGAGGGUGCAAGCGUUAAUCGGAAUUACUGGGCGUAAAGCGCACGCAGGCGGUCUGUCAAGUCGGAUGUGAAAUCCCCAGGCUCAACCUGGGAACUGCAUUCGAAACUGGCAGGCUAGAGUCUUGUAGAGGGGGGUAGAAUUCCAGGUGUAGCGGUGAAAUGCGUAGAGAUCUGGAGGAAUACCGGUGGCGAAGGCGGCCCCCUGGACAAAGACUGACGCUCAGGUGCGAAAGCGUGGGGAGCAAACAGGAUUAGAUACCCCGGUAGUC